GACGAACGCUGGCGGCGUGCCUAGUACAUGCAAGUAGAACGCUGAAGGAGGAGCUUGCUUCUCUGGAUGAGUUGCGAACGGGUGAGUAACGCGUAGGUAACCUGCCUGGUAGCGGGGGAUAACUAUUGGAAACGAUAGCUAAUACCGCAUAAGAGUAGAUGUUGCAUGACAUUUGCUUAAAAGGUGCAAUUGCAUCACUACCAGAUGGACCUGCGUUGUAUUAGCUAGUUGGUGGGGUAACGGCUCACCAAGGCGACGAUACAUAGCCGACCUGAGAGGGUGAUCGGCCACACUGGGACUGAGACACGGCCCAGACUCCUACGGGAGGCAGCAGUAGGGAAUCUUCGGCAAUGGACGGAAGUCUGACCGAGCAACGCCGCGUGAGUGAAGAAGGUUUUCGGAUCGUAAAGCUCUGUUGUAAGAGAAGAACGAGUGUGAGAGUGGAAAGUUCACACUGUGACGGUAGCUUACCAGAAAGGGACGGCUAACUACGUG
rnacentral:rRNA from 1 species